rnacentral:rRNA from 1 species
AUUGAACGCUGGCGGCAUGCUUUACACAUGCAAGUCGAACGGCAGCGCGGGCUUCGGCCUGGCGGCGAGUGGCGAACGGGUGAGUAAUACAUCGGAACGUGCCCAGUAGUGGGGGAUAGCUCGGCGAAAGCCGGAUUAAUCCCGCAUACGACCUGAGGGUGAAAGCGGGGGAUCUUCGGACCUCGCGCUAUUGGAGCGGCCGAUGGCAGAUUAGCUAGUUGGUGGGGUAAAGGCCUACCAAGGCGACGAUCUGUAGCUGGCCUGAGAGGACGACCAGCCACACUGGGACUGAGACACGGCCCAGACUCCUACGGGAGGCAGCAGUGGGGAAUUUUGGACAAUGGGCGAAAGCCUGAUCCAGCAAUGCCGCGUGUGUGAUGAAGGCCUUCGGGUUGUAAAGCACUUUUGGCGGGAACGAAAAGGACUGUGCCAAUACCACGGUUCGAUGACGGUACCCGCAGAAUAAGCACCGGCUAACUACGUG